UUAGCAGUUCCUCGUGACAUAAACACCGCUUCACAGAGGAGGUGAGGCCGGGGUUUGGAUCUCAGCACCGCGAGUUUUCUUGUCCAAGCCGCCUCUCCUUUUUGACCUAAGUCCCCUGGUCCAUCGGACACCCCGCCCCCAGAAGAGCCUUUCCUGAAGCCACCGGCCCUCCCAUUCUUCCCGCCGCCACGCAUGGCUUAUGGACCCUCCUCUGCGUUCCCACAACCCGCUGUCUUCUAUACAAUUGCUCCUUACACAGAGUUUUAACGGUGUGGUUACACAUACGCCUCCCCAAUGAGACUGUGAGCUCUUUGGAGGCAUGAAAGAAAGAGAGAAAGAGAGAAAGAAAGAGAGAAAAUAGAAAGAAAGAAAGAGAGAAAAUAAGAAAGAAAGAAAGAAAGAAAGAAAGAAAGAAAAAGAAAGAAAGAAAAGAAAGAAAGAAAAGAAAGAGAAAAAGAACUUUAACAUUAUCCUAAAACCCACACCAACCUGGCACAUUAUCGAUUAAAAAUAUUUUUUAAGUUGCAAAUGUAUUGGACAGCAGCUUUAAAUUCUAAGUGCUUUACAACUAAAUAUUAUAUUGCCCCAUUUAAUCCAUACCCGAUGGGUUCUCAGAGUGUGGCCUAAUGGCCACUGGGGUUCUCCCGUACCCAGAGGGUCUCUGUGAGGUUGUCCCUUUUGCUAGUUUUGUAUCAAUGUGCGGCAAGAUGUUCUUAGUAUAUGUAACACAAAACAGCCUAUCACAAUCCACUGAACAUGCAGAAGCAGACGUGAGGAUCCAGCUCUCUUAUAAUGAGCUAGACAUUAAAGAGAUUUGCAAAAAUACGAAACAAUGCCACCGUUGCCAGUAUUUUGUUUUGGAGCAGAGUUAUUUUUUUAAAAAAUAUGCAUGUUGAGGGGCAUCUGGGUGGCCCAGUCGGUUAAGCAUCCCACUUUGGCUCAGGUCAUGAUCUCACAGUUUGUGAGUUCCAGCCCCGUGUGGGGGACUCUGUGCUGACAGUUCAGAGCUUGGAGCCUGGAUUGGAUUCUGUGUCUCCGCUCUCUGCCCCUCCCCUGCUUGCGCUCUGUCUCUUUCUCUCAAAAAUAAAUAGACAUUGAAAAAAAUAUAUGCAUGUUAAAAUAUCAUGUAACUGCUUUUGAGUUAACCAGUAUUUUUAAAAACAUUAGUUUAAAUUUCCAAUUACAGUAGAUAUUCAUAGAUAUAACCCACGUAAUGAAAUCUCUUUAGGGUCUUCAGUAGUUUUUAAGAGUGCCCUUGGAAAAGGGUCUCUGAGACCAGAGACUUUGAGAACUGCUUCCUCACAGCAUCCUAGGAAGUAUUAUCCUUGUUUUACAAAUGAGGAAAGGGGGGAGGCACAGAGAGGUCAAAUAACUCGCCCAGGGCCCGGCAGCUGGUAAGAGGUCAGAUCUGUGCACAGCAAGCCAGUGAGGUGGACAUGUGAUUAUCCCCAUCCAAAAUCAAGGACAGUGAGAAACAGGGAGGGGCAUUAGCUUCCUGCAGCUGAUGUAACAAAUUGCCACAAACUUGGAGACUUAAAACAAUAGAAACUUAUUCUCUGACAGUUCUGGAGGCCAGAUAUCUGGCAGGAUCAGGCUCUCGAGAGGAUCCUCUCUUGUCUCUUCCAGCCUCUGGGAUGCUUAGUCUGUAGCCACAUCCCUCCAGUCUCUGCCUCUGUUUUCACGUGGUCCUUCCAUGCAUGUCUGUCUUCUCUUUGUGUCUCUUAUAAGAACACCUGUCAUUGGAUUUAGAGCCCAUCUGUACAACCCAGGAUGAUCUAAUCUCAAGGUCCUUAACUUAAUUCACUUGCAAAGAUUAUUUUUUCAAAAUAAGGUCUCCACUUCCAGGAUCGGGACACGGAAGUAUCUUUUGGGGCAGGGUGGCACUAUUCAACCCACUUGCUUAAGGUUCCACAGCUGGGAGGGAUGCAGCCAACCCGGUGGGUGCCCGUGUUGAAUGAAGGAAUAAAUAAUGAAUGCCCAGAUUGGGGUAGUUUUCCCCUAAAGGCAGCAAAGAUGUGCUGAGAGUCAGCUGGGAGGGGACCAGGAUUGAAGAACUAGAAUACCAGCCUGCAGCCUGAACUUAAGAUGGGGGCAGGAAAGGAGUGGGGGGGGGGGGGGGGGGGGAGGCAGAAGUCUGAGAUGACCCCAGAUGGUGAGCUCAGGAGAAUGGCUACAGUUUUAAGCAAGCAAGUUUUAAGCAGUCAAGCCUGGUGGUUAAGCUUCCAGAACCUCUCUGCGGUCUAAUCCUGGCGUAGUCACUGGCCAGGUGUUUGGCCUCUCGGGGCCUCAGCUUCCCAUUCUAUAAAAUGGGAUCACAGAGGGUAAUUGUGAUCAUUAAACAAAUCCGAGUAUGUGCCGGCCUCCCCCAAUGCUUCUAAGCUUCUAUUAUCCUCACCAUCAUCGUUAAAGAUACCUGGAGGAGGUACCUGGUCUGGGUGUAGAUGUAGACGUCUAGGUGACAGCUGGAAAUGUGGACCUGAAACUCACUACCAGAGCAAUGAUAAGAGCUACGUUGACAUUCAUUUAUUCAAUAGGUAUUUAGCUCUUAAUGUAUGCCAGGGACUCUGCUAACCCUGUGGGAUGCGGCAAUAUGAGACAGACAGGAUUGCUGCUCUUGUGGGAAACAGAGAGGAAACAGGAGAAACCAAAAAUAAACUAAUUUCAGAUGGAGCAAGAGAGGGUUGACAAAGGGGAGGAGAAUCAAGAAAGCAGUGUGUCCCAGAAACCAGGCAUGUUAGCACAAUUCAAUUGGAAAAAGAGUCCCACACACUGUAUUUCUCAACUAUGAAUAUUUCAUAACACUUUUUUUUUAAUUUUUAAUAUUUAUUUAUUUUUGAGACAGAGAGAGACAGAGCAUGAACGGGGGAGGGUCAGAGAGAGGGAGACACAGAAUCCGAAGCAGGCUACAGGCUCCGAGCCGUCAGCACAGAGCCCGACGCGGGGCUCAAACUCACGAACUGUGAGACCAUGACCUGAGUCAAAGGUGGACGCUUAACUGACUGAGCCACCCAGGUGCCCUGAAAUUUAUUUCUUGAUGAAACGGGAUUGUUUGUCUUAGAGAGAUGCUGUCUGGAUGUUGCUAAUUUCACCACUGUAACGUCCUUUAAUAUGUCUGUUCCCGGUAUUUUCUUUAGACUGGUAGUUGUAUCAACAGGUUUGAUCUGAUUUAGGUUCAAUUUAUUUGGUGGUGGUGUGUUGGACAUUUCUUUUUGCUUUUUUGUGGAAGAGGCAAGACUCAUUUUUAAAUGUUUCUCUAGAUGUAAAUUACGUGCAAUAAUGUUCACCUUUUUAAUGUGUACAAUUCACUGGUUCUUCGUAUAUUUGCAAGUUCUGUACCCAUCACCCAUCCCCACCCUCUAACUUCAGAACAUUUUCAACAACCUCCCCCCAAAGCCUUGUACCCAUUAGCAGUCACUUUCCAUUCUCUCCUGCCCCCAGCCCCUGGCAACCCCUCUUCUGCUUUCUGGGUCCAUAGAUGUGUCUAUUCUGAACAUUUCAUAUACCGGGUGGCCUUUUGUGCCCGACUUCUUUCACUCAGCAUAAUGUUUUUAAGGUUUAUCCAUGCCGUGGGACCACAUAAUUCCUUUUCAUAGCCUAAUAAGCUCCCAUUGUAUGGACGGGCCACAUUCUGUUUAUCCAUCCAUCCACGGGCUUUUGGGAUGUUUCUACCUUCCCUGCUGGUUUGCCCGUGUUAAGACAGUAAUUUCCUUCUGGAAGCUCAGAUCACUUAGUAGAAAUGUUUCCUCCUCCCAGAACUCCUUCUUUCUAGGCUCCAGAAGAGGGUGGGAAGGAAAAGGGAAAAGGACUUUAUCCAGCCGGAAGCUCACAGCCGUUGGUACUUUCUGAACGAGUGAGGCAAACGACCCCGUAAGCCCCAGCCUGCUUUCUGUCCGUGGAUUUACUUAUUCUGUCCAUUUCAGAUACGUGGAAUUAAUAUGCUAUGUGAAGGAAGAGGAGACAGCCACAGACCAUGUGUGUGAGGCCCAGGGGAAGAACGGGCUCCAUUCGUGCGUGAGUCAGCAGACUGACCAGCGGACUUGUUGGGGCAAGUUGGGGAACAGCGUGAAAUGAAGUUGAAAAGGGUGGCAGAGAUUGACUGCGGGGUCAAGUUCGUAUCUGACGUAGUAGGGAGGAUGUGAUGUGACAUCUGGCAAGUCAUCGGAUCUUUGUUUUACUUUUUUCAUCUGUAAAAUGGGAGUAAUCUCAGCAGAGAUUAAACGAGUUAAAAUACAUAAAAUGUUUAGAACAGAGGAUGGUACACAGUAAGAGCUACAUUAAUGUUAGCUGUUGCUAUGCUUGCUGUGUGGGUGGUUUGACUAUUACAUGUGCUGUGAUUGUCACCACUGAAGCAUCUCAUUUGGAGCAACGACAUCAUGAAACCAGCACUGAUGUCUGACUGUGAUGUGAGGGGCUAUUAGAAGAAUUAGGAAUCAGGGCAACCCCUCAAUUCUGCCUCCAAAAUCUCUCCCCAGAUUUUCCACUUUGCUCCACCUCCCUACUUCCACCCUGGCCCCACUUACUGUAACUUUCCCUUCUGGAAGAAGCCGAUGGUGGGCUUCUAACUGGUUUCUUCUUUGUCUCUUCUUCCCACUAACCUGUUUUCUGCACAGCAGCAAUUUUGCACAGCCA
rnacentral:lncRNA from 1 species